rnacentral:rRNA from 1 species
GACGAACGCUGGCGGCGUGCCUAAUACAUGCAAGUAGAACGCAGUUGCGAACGGGUGAGUAACGCGUAGGUAACUGCCUCAUAGCGGGGGAUAACUAUUGGAAACGAUAGCUAAUACCGCUUACUGUGAGAUGGACCUGCGUUGUAUUAGCUAGUUGGUGAGGUAAAGGGUCACCAAGGCGACGAUACACAGCCGACCUGAGAGGGUGAUCGGCCACACUGGGACUGGAGAACGGCCCAGAAUCCUACGGGAGGGAGGAGUAGGGAAACUUCGGAAAUGGGCGGAAGGCUGAACGAGCAACGCCGCGUGAGUGAAGAAGGGUUUCAGAUCGUAAAGCUCUGUUGUUAGGGAAGCGGUAACUAAACAGGAAGGGACGGCUAACUACGUGCCAGCAGCCGCGGUAAUUC